rnacentral:rRNA from 1 species
GUGCCAGCAGCCGCGGUAAUACCGGCAGCUCGAGUGAUGUCCAAUCUUAUUGGGCCUAAAGCGUCCGUAGCUGGCCUAACAAGUCCGUCGGGAAAUCCACGUGCUUAACACGUGGGCGACCGACGGAAACUGUUCGGCUUGGGGCCGGAGGACCCGAGGGGUACGUCCGGGGUAGGAGUGAAAUCCUGUAAUCCUGGACGGACCGCCGGUGGGGAAACCACCUCAGGAGAACGGAUCCGACAGUGAGGGACGAAAGCCAGGGUCUCGAACCGGAUUAGAUACCCGAGUAGUCC